CAAAGGCAAGCAAUCAGAUAUACCGAAAGCAAAGGAGCAUUUUUCUUACAAAAAUAAGUUUAGACGAUGGAUCAUCACUAAGUAAAUACAACAGUUGAGUCAUUAUAUAGGCAAAGGGAGCCACAUAGGCGAUGCGAGAUAAAGAACCUAAGUAGUUAUGCUAAAGCCUAAUACUUGAUAGCUUCGUUGGGUCAUCCUGACUCCUUACAUGACAUGAUACAUGAAUCUCUGGCGAUUUUACGGUCUAGCCAAUGAAAUCACAUAGAAGUAUUUGCAUAAUAGUAUGAUUUCAUAACUGCCUUCCCAAAGCGGGUAGACAGUGAGCGACAGUCUGCCCAUUUUAGACUUGAAGGCAAAGGCACAUAGCUAAAAGUUUUGCAAGCUGUUAUUGUCACAAAGUAUGACCAAUUGGUUCUGAUGGUUGCUCUUGCAUUCACGCCCAUAAUAAUUCUGACCUGCUCCUUAGCGCACAUCAUCGAUUGAUUGUUCAAGGUUACUUGCUAGGUAUCUCCAUGUGAUGGAGCUGAGAAAUACUGGAAACUGGUAGCAUAUGAUGGUCAAGAUCAUUCCUCUCACCAUUUGUUGGCCGGGAGCGGUGGUAGUCUCGGUCGUCUCACAUAUGUAAUACCUGAUGGCAGGCUUCGUCGUACCAACAGAUUGCUUGAGUCAAUCAUGCUCGUAUGGAGAUAUUUUUAGCUUUUUCGCGUAGAAGCACCUGCAUCCAAGCGGUCCUGCGUAUCGAGUAUGAGAGUUUAACAUUCGAGAAGUAAGAAAUAUUUACCCAUAGAGAAGCGACAAACAUGUCUUUCAUGGCAAGAGAUAAAUUCAAGGAUAAAUUACUACACCUUAUAAACUACAGUACUAUAUUGUUCUCUUAGUUCCACCAACUUAAAUUGCUAUCCAUGUUGUUACAGAAAAUUUUAGCUAUUAUAUUUCAGAUCGUAUGACGCGCUUUCGUUUACUUUGUAUGCACAGACUGUUUACCUCCUUGAUCUACAGUUUUAUAUCGCAAAUAGCUGAUCCAAACAGGGGCCAGUGGGUUACCUCUUGUCUUGGUCCUCUCACAAAGGUAUGGUUCACUGCACAUGGUUUCAAUCCUUGGCUUUCCGGCACGGUGGCAUUUACGACAGUGUCUACCUGAAAAACUGAACGAACCCGUGUGUCGAACACAACAUCAUCAAUAGAAUUCAUAGAUAAUGGCACUUGCUACUCAAUGCAUACAUGUGUACCUUCGUCAUUACUGCGGUAGAUCGGGUCGUCGGCUCUUGCCCCUUCCAUGAUGUGCCUAGUACUUGAGCCCUAUUAAGAGUGAAUUUUAAACGCAAGAGGAUUGUUAUUAGCAUGGUCCUGGCAAGAUUAGUCUUUAACAACAAACAAUCAGAUUAUGGUCAUAUUCACAUCUGAUAUCCAACAAUGCAUUGACAACCAAACCUGGAGCUAAUAGAGGGUACAUCAGAACUGAAUCUAUAAAUGUUCACCAAAUCUGAAUUUAUCCAUGCAAUCGGUACAGUUUCUGUAACCAUGUGUGUAUUAGUAGCAGGAAAAUAAUACUGGCAUACCAAGCUAGUCAACAUAUAGUGAAUCGUAUUAAACUGGAAUCUAUAUACUGGUUCUAUAGUUCAAAAACCUCUUUUCAUGGUUAAUUAGACAGAGAAUUAGCGAGGGACUGGAAGAGAAAGAAAGAUGGACAGAGAGAGGGGGUGGGAGGUAGAGAUAAUAUAUCUGCAAGAAACAAUCACAACCAUAUCGGAAUGGAUGGUAGCCGCAUCUGCGGGUGACAUCGUCCUAGUGUGCUUCCCUCCCAUGGUCCUUUAUUAUUUUAGAAGCAAAGGAGAAAAGCAUGGGAGCCAGCAAGAGAGACAGGGAGAGGCGUGAGGGUUGAGGAUUUACCAAGAUUCAAUCGAGAUCCGCCGAGAAGGGUUGGGUUUGUACUUUGGCCAGGUCGAGGUCGUUGUAGCCGCACUUCUAGAUCCAGGCGAGGUACCGUGAAAUGUGGAUACUGAGUGGAACGUGUCUUCUUAUAUUCCUCGGCUUCUCCUCUUGUAAUCGGGCCGAGCCCAGUUCAACACUUGUGGGCCUGAUAGAUUUUGUUGCUUGUGGAAAGAACUCACACUGUAAUUCGAAAUGGAAAUUAGCGCAACGGAUGUUAGGUGGGAUGACCAUCGGUUAUUUUCACAGGAGAGGAAGAGGUGCCUUGUUAUGCCAGGGUGGUAGAGGAGCAGGGUAGUAUCUGGUGACAUAAUUACGGAGAAUCAUAAGAGAGAAGUAACAGUAAGUACUCAUCAGGAUUUCUAACAGUUUCCAAUUUGGACAUGGACAAAUUGAAGACAUUUUUAUUCUUCAGAUCCUAAGUAGCUUAGAACAAGUUUAUAUGAUCAUCAAGAAUCACCAGAAAAAGCUAUAAAAUAAGCAUGCACGUCGUGUCUGCAAAACUAAACCAAAAUGUACAAUAGUCUCAUUCUUCUACCAAAUUAAUUUAGCAAGAAACUAAAUCACCUGCUCAAGGCUAGGGAAAGGACCACCGAAGCAACAAAUAUGAACAUAAACAUAUAUGGUUUGGUCCACAUAAGGAAAGAAGGUUUUCUACAUAAAACAUAUGGUCAGGUCUAUCCAGGCAAGGUACACAUGAGUUUGGUGAACUAUUAUUGCCCUGCUACUAAUACUAAUUUUCCAAAAAAACAUUGAAUGUGUAAAAAUAAUCUUUUAGUUGGAGUAAAAAAUCUUGCCAAAGUUAAUUGGGUGGCCUAUUAACCCGAAAUACUUAACUUAAUCACAACAGAAAUGAAGUGCCGACAACACAAAUGUGGCCUCCUUGUUGGAUUAUUCAUUAGUAAGAAUUGUUCUGGUUCCUAAAUCUAUGUUAGGUAGGAUGGAUACAACCAUUAUUCUUGAAGGUGCAUAUCCAAAAUCAAGUAAAAACAAUAUUUCAAAUGAUGGCCCAAACAACCAUCUAACUUUAUGUUAGGAAAGUCAUAAACUACACAUCAUUCUGAUUUAGAAGUCAUAUAAUACCUUUUGGUCCUCAGAGCCAUUCUUCUCUUUUCUUUCCUUGUCGUGAAGUGCGGUAUAAACUUUGAAGUACCAAGAGCUGCAAAUUGAACUCAGAAGUCAAAAUAGGUCGUACGAACAAAACAAAAUAAACCUUUAUCUAUAAUGAAAGUUGAGUGCAAAACUACUAUACAGUAAAGCCAUGGAAUUUCAAAUAUAAGCCGGGAUGGGGAGAUGCGAUGUAGAGAAACAUAGCUAAAUAUAAGAAUGAAGCACUUAGGCUUGCGAAACACUGAACAACAUUGCCCUAAGGAUCAGAUCAAGUUCUUUGCUAACUGGUCACUCACAUGCUCUUCUUGGCCAUUCUCUGGAUUUAUGGAGAAGAUCCCUUGAACCUAAGAAUGCAAAAUGAGAAAAAUCAUGUUGAUUCAGACCUUAUUGAUAUACAAAAGGAGAAAUCUAUGUAUUUUGACUUUCUCUACGAUUCUAUAUUUGAACUACCUAUGAAGAAAGCUUUCGUUUACCAAACAAAUACACCUUUUGUGUGUCGCUGCUUAUUUGAAUCUUACACUUAGUCACCUUCAAAUAUCAAUUUGUCUUCUAGCUAGUUAAGUGUGCAUAUUGAAUCUUGAAGUAUAUAAUUCCACAGAUAAAAAAUUACCCCAAAUCAUAAAUCAAAGUAUAUAAUUCCAAAGGCUGAAACCCUAAAUCAAAGUCAUAUACAAUUCCGCAGACACUAAAAUAUCUAAACUCCCUUUAAUUCACCAUAUAUAAUUCCGCAGAUAAAAAAAUGACUCCAAAUCAUAAAAGGAAAUCAAUGAGAAAUUCAUGAAAGGCAGCAAAAAAAAUGAUAAGAAAAUACUGUUGUAGAUCAUAUUGGAGUUUUAGCCGCUGAUACUGACCUUUUCAACACUUCUUGUAUCAUGCCCUUGCUCAUGAACCUCUCCGCCAUUGUCUUUACUUGGAGGACCGAUCUUCCCUGCAGCAACAUCAUCCUGAAAGUCACAACCAAAACAUAUCAUAACCAAGCAACAAUCUCAUAGUCGAUCAGUGAUCAUUUAUGUUGCAGAUCUUUGCUGCAUUCCCACCACUCAAGGGGCGUCAUUCAUUAUACUACCAACAUCCUCCUGCAGUGAACAACCAAAUUAGAAAAACAGUGGUCUCGUGAUUAUUCAAGGAGCCAUUUUUCUCAAAACCAACACCCCCUGAAAUCAAUAACCAAACCAGACUAACUAACCAGCAAUCCCACCAAACAUCAAUAACCACAAUUUUCACACCUUCACUGCAUCUGCGCCGUCAUUAUCUAGUGUCAACAUUCCCCCGCAAUCAAUAAUUUUACUACUCAGGCGGUCUCGUUGGUGGGCAACCUGCAGAAGCGAAUAGCUUGAGAACCUUUGCAUCUGCGCCGUCAUUAUCUAGUGUCAACAUUCCCCCGCAAUCAAUAAUUUUACUACUCAGGCGGUCUCGUUGGUGGGCAACCUGCAGAAGCGAAUAGCUUGAGAACCUUUGCCUCCUGAGCGGUGGCGCCCUCGCCCUCCCUGGCCAGGAGGCCUGUCCGAGGCAUGCCGCGGGGGUUGAUGACGAUGCUGGGCAGCCGCUCGAUGUCCCAGCCGAGCACGCUGCAUAUAACAGACCCAACACGCUCAGAGGCAAAGAACAAAGGGAAAAGUGAGAGAGCAAUGAGGAGGCACCUGAGGUGAGGCGAGGCCAGUGACGGGCAACGGCGAUGACACUCUGACCUUGAUCCAGUCACGAGAAACCCCGAUCCACCAGCGCCUUGUGCUUCCCCGUGGAUGACGCCCAGCUUCCUCCCGUCGACGGCGCGACGAUCCACUGCUCCGCUGGCUCGUGCUCCUCCUCGCCGCGUCUCCUCCGCGUGCGGCGCCGACGGACUCCGGACGCAUCUAGGCCAGACGGCGACAGAGACGGGCGGCACAGAGGAGAGGAGGAGGACGGGCGGCGGCGACACAGAGGAGGAGGAAGACGGGCAACGGCAGUGCAGAGGAGAGGAGGAGGAUGGGCAGCGGUGCCGCAGAGGAGAGGAGGAGGACGGGUGGCGGCGGCUCAGAGGAGAGGAGGAGGUAGGGUUACGGGAGGGGAAGCCGCGAGGGGAGGACGGAGCGGAGCUGCGCGUGUGCGGGAGGUGGCUUGCUGCACUUAUAUGCCACCAGGUGAAAUGACGAAAUUACCCUUAGCGGGCCACCAAAUUUACAGGCGGUGGCAUGACGACCCCGAUUAAAUGACUAAAAUACCCUGGUGCUCUGUUUGUAAAGCGUCCCUAAAGCGUCGCUUAAGCGACGCUUAAGCGUUAGAGCGCCCUCCAGGCUCAAAGCGUCCAACUCGCUUUAGACAUGUGUCUAAGGCGUCCGCCUUAGACACUAAAGCGUCUGAAGCGCCUGCUUAGGCAUCCUGAUUGGCGCUUUAAGGCAGAGAGGACGCCUUAGACUUGCCAGGCAGGGUACAGAGAUUCCUGGCAGGGAAACAGGGCUGGGCUCACAUUUGAAACAGUUACAGGAGGGGAAAGAAAGAGAGAGAACCAAAACCAGAGCGUGCAAAUAUCCAGGCUUUCAGCUCUUUCCUCUCUCCUCUGGCAGCAGCUUCCUCAGAUCUGCACCAGCCUUUUCUGCUCUGUUGUGUGUUAUGCUAUGCACAACUCCUCUGCUGUUAGGUGCUACUGCCUCUCUUAUAGCAAUUGGCUAGUUGCUUGCUGCUUAGUGGAUGGAUCAGAAUAUAUGGGCUCACUGGUGGAUUAGAAUCAACAUAUAUAUGUCUCACUAAAUGGUGCUCUAUUAUACUGCCCAUCAGGUUCAGAGUCUGUCUAAAGCGUCGCCUCGCUUUACGCUUUAUCGCUUAAGCAGUGAGGCGCCCCCCUAGCGCCUCGCUUCGCUUUACCGCUUUAUAAACAUAGCCCUGGUGUGGGCAAAGAUAUUACAUUCUGAUGCAAUUGAAAUUUUAUCCGACGGCCGAAGUUGAUCCGGUAAAUAUCCAACGACCCACAGCGAUUUGGAUCGAGAUCCGACAGUCUGUGUCGCGAGGAGAUUCCGAUCCGACGGCUGAAAAUCCAAACGCCUGAGGAGGCUCCAUUUCGGUUCUGACUCUAACAAGGGUAAGCAAAAAAUCUUGCCAAAGUUAAUUGGGUGGCCUAUUAACCCGAAAUACUUAACUUAAUCACAACAGAAAUGAAGUGCCAACAACACAAAUGUGGCCUCCUUGUUGGAUUAUUCAUUAGUAAGAAUUGUUUUGGUUCCUAAAUCUAUGUUAGAUAGGAUGGAUACAACCAUUAUUCUUGAAGGUGCAUAUGCAAAAUCAAGUAAAAAUAAUAUUUCAAAUGAUGGCCCAAACAACCAUCCAACUUUAUGUUAGGAAAGUCAUAAACUACACAUCAUUCUGAUUUAGAAGUCAUAUAAUACCUUUUGGUCCUCAGAGCCAUUCUUCUCUUUUCUUUCCUUGUCGUGAAGUGCGGUAUAAACUUUGAAGUACCAAGAGCUGCAAAUUGAACUCAGAAGUCAAAAUAGGUCGUAUAAACAAAACAAAACAAACCUUUAUCUAUAAUGAAAGUUGAGUGCAAAACUACUAUACAGUAAAGCCAUGGAAUUUCAAAUAUAAGCCGGGAUGGGGAGAUGGGAUGUAGAGAAACAUAGCUAAAUAUAAGAAUGAAGCACUUAGGCUUGCGAAACACUGAACAACAUUGCCCUAAGGAUCAGAUCAAGUUCUUUGCUCAACUGGUCACUCACAUGCUCUUCUUGGUCAUUCUCUGGAUUUAUGGAGAAGAUCCCUUGAACCU
rnacentral:lncRNA from 1 species